rnacentral:sRNA from 1 species
AAGGGCACGCACGCCCGGGGACUCGUUGGCGGCGUGGAGGGGCGCCGGUGGCCACGUUGGUGUCAACCUCCUUCGUGAAGCUCACACCUCCCCCGCCCCGGGAGGGGUUUGCCCGCCACUGUCGCUGAAUGAUUGCAUCAUCGAAAGCAGAAAACCACUUUUGCAUCCUUCGGUCUCUGGCGUGCCUGCCAUGACGUAAUAGCUCUGCGGAGGUGGAAGUUGGGGAGCUUUGAGGACCUCAUGGAUCCCAGGGGGACCAAGAGAGGAGCUGAGAAGACAGAGGUAGCUGAGCCUCGGAACAAACUACCUCGUCCAGCACCUUCUCUGCCCACAGACCCUGCCCUCUACUCUGGGCCCUUUCCUUUCUACCGGCGCCCUUCGGAACUGGGCUGCUUCUCCCUGGAUGCUCAACGCCAGUACCAUGGAGAUGCCCGAGCCCUGCGCUACUAUAGCCCACCCCCCACUAACGGUCCAGGCCCCAACUUCGACCUCAGAGACGGAUACCCGGAUCGAUACCAGCCCCGGGACGAGGAGGUCCAAGAAAGGCUGGACCACCUGCUGUGCUGGCUCCUGGAACACCGAGGCCGGUUGGAGGGGUGAGCAAAGCGUGGUAGGCAGUAUAUCUGGAGACCCGUACCUACCCUCUAAAAUUAGGAGAGCCAAAGCCGGGGUGAGAAUCAGUCCUUAGAAGAAACAAGACUAUUCUUCGAGGGGAGCAUCUCACUAAUGCUUGUGUCAGACCUUCAGCCUGUAACUCCUGCCUCUCAGGGGUCCAGGCUGGCUGGCAGAGGCCAUAGUGACGUGGCGGGGGCACCUGACAAAACUGCUGACGACACCGUAUGAGCGGCAGGAGGGCUGGCAGCUGGCAGCCUCCCGGUUCCAGGGAACACUAUACCUGAGUGAAGUGGAGACACCGAACGCUCGGGCCCAGAGGCUUGCUCGGCCACCGCUCCUCCGGGAGCUUAUGUACAUGGGAUACAAAUUUGAGCAGUACAUGUGUGCAGGUGAGUUGCCCCUGCUUCAUAGCCCCCCUCCCCUUCCCAGAGAUUGAGAGCCCCCCACGCCUGCUGCUGCUUCUCUCCUUGUGCAGACAAACCUGGAAGCUCCCCAGACCCCUCUGGGGAGGUUAACACCAACGUGGCCUUCUGCUCUGUGCUACGCAGCCGCCUGGGAAGCCACCCUCUGCUCUUCUCAGGGGAGGUAGACUGCACAGACCCCCAGGCCCCAUCCACACAGCCCCCGACCUGCUAUGUGGAGCUCAAGACCUCCAAGGAGAUGCACAGCCCUGGCCAAUGGAGGAGUUUCUACAGGUUCAGGAUCGGGGUGGGCAGGGCGAGAGCUUAGGCUUGAAGGCUGGGAAAGGGACUUGGGGAGGAGGGUGAAGGCAGAAUAGAGGGUGGACGAGGGGUCCCACUGAUCCCUUGCUUUUCCUGACAGACACAAGCUCCUGAAAUGGUGGGCUCAGUCAUUCCUC